rnacentral:rRNA from 1 species
UACGGAGGGUGCAAGCGUUAUCCGGAUUCACUGGGUUUAAAGGGUGCGUAGGAGGGCAGGUAAGUCAGUGGUGAAAUCCCCGAGCUUAACUUGGGAACUGCCGUUGAUACUAUCUGUCUUGAAUAUUGUGGAGGUAAGCGGAAUAUGUCAUGUAGCGGUGAAAUGCUUAGAUAUGACAUAGAACACCAAUUGCGAAGGCAGCUUGCUACACAAUUAUUGACUCUGAUGCACGAAAGCGUGGGGAUCAAACAGG